rnacentral:rRNA from 1 species
GACGAACGCUGGCGGCGCGCUUAACACAUGCAAGUCGAACGGAAAGGCCUGCUUUCCCUUGUGGAUUGCGGGUACUCGAGUGGCGAACGGGUGAGUAACACGUGAGUGAUCUGCCCCCAACUUGGGUAUAAGCCUGGGAAACUGGGUCUAAUUCCCGAUAGGACUGCAGGGUGGUGCCUGUGGUGGAAAACGAUUUUCUAGUGGUUGGGGAUGAGCUCGCGGCCUAUCAGCUUGUUGGUGGGGUAAUGGCCUACCAAGGCGGCGACGGGUAGCCGGCCUGAGAGGGUGGACGGCCCCAUUGGGACUGGGAUACGGCCCAGACUCCUACGGGAGGCAGCAGUGGGGAAUAUUGCACAAUGGGCGGAAGCCUGAUGCAGCGACGCCGCGUGGGGGAUGACGGCCUUCGGGUUGUAAACUCCUUUCGACCGCGAGGAAGCCACCUGGUUGGAAGGGUGGUGACGGUAGUGGUAGAAGAAGCACCGGCUAACUACGUG